rnacentral:lncRNA from 1 species
UCCAAGAGCUCCGUGUUGUGGCCCAAACUGCCACCGUCGUCGUCUCUGUCUCCAUCAGGGUCUUCUCCAGCAGCCGGGAUGCCCUGUGGUGGUGCAGGGGGCAUCUCUGGCUAAGACGUAGGGGAGGGCUACCUCCCAGACUCCACCUCCUGCUGAGGCACGGGGCAAGAGUCAUGUUGCUCUUGCUCCUAGCUUCGGCACUCCUACUCCUCGCGCAGGCGGCGAUGCAGUCUCUCCAGGUGGCUAGACUGACCUGUCACCGUGCGGCGUAGUGGGCGCUUCACAAGGUGAGAGGGUAAUAAAGGGAUCACCGACUAACGUCCAGUGCAUCUAAGACGGGUCAUCUACAAAAGACAUCGUAAGCACAAGAGUGAGAAAAGGGUACUUUAUUACAUCAAGAUGUCCAACGCAUCCAUAGAGUCAUUAACAUAACACUGUCAUUAACAUGAUCAAAGUGCAGAAUACGAAACAUAGAGAUAUGGCCUUCACAGGCAGCUGACUGGGGGUUUUCCACUAACACGACUAAAAUUCAUCGUAGUCCUGAAACUCUUCGAAGUCCUCCAUGUUUCCUGCAUCUCCUCCUAAGCACUGAUUGCAAUGGGGACAACCUGGGGUGGGUGGUUUUUAAAGCAAGGGUGAGUACACAUUAACGUACUCAGCAAAUGUCUCGUUUGACUAAAGUGGACUAGAUGUAUGUGGAGUUAAGGUUAAAGCAGUUGCUUUUAGUUGGUAAAGUAUUUAUUACUAGUAAUAAGCCAAAUUUUAGUAAUAAACCCGGUUAUUACCCAAGAGUACUCCCUCCAAGAAGAAAUACCAGAAACCAUAGUUAUAAUCAUCAUCAGUAACCAUCAUCAUAUUAAGCAAAGUGAGCUCGGAAGAAGACAUAGUGCAAGUCUAAAUGGACCAAGUAAAAAGGUAAGCUCUGUACACUCAGUAAAUUGUUUUGUGUGCUAUUCAUAUUUGUCUAAGUGCCAGGGACUUUAUGAAGUCAAGACAAAAGGAGCAAAAGAGAACAAAGAAAGAAAAAGAAAAGGCGUGUUGGACUGAAGAGCACCGGACGGUCCGGUGCCUCUCAGUCCAGUGCACGGUCCGGCCAAUUGCCUGCUCUCGGGAAUUCUAGCUUGUGUCGGCUAUAAUUCAUAGGACCGUCUGUGCGGAGCACCGGACUGUCCGGUGUGCCAGCCAUCAACGGCUAGCUGUCACGUUGGCCGAGGGCCAACGGUCAAGUGGUGCACCAGACAGUCUGGUGCCCCCAUCGGACGGUCCAGUGCCCCCAGAACAGGAAACCAGCCAAUCAGGGAUUCAUAUCCAUUGCACUGUUCACUGCCCGGUGUGCACCGGACAGUCCAGUGCACCCACGGAUAGAAGGCAACUAGGGCCUUCCAAAGGAGCUCCAAUGGCUCCUAGGUCCCUUAGGGCUAUAAAAGGGACCCCUAGGCGCAUGAAGCACCAUACCAAGCAUCCAUUGAACAUUCUACAACGCUGAGACUUCGUAAGCACGCAAUUGUUUCAUUGAGAUAAAGAUUUGAGCGCUUCUUUGAGCUGUGACUCCGUUGUGUUGUUUUCGUGUGCUCUUUUCUUGACUUGUGUGUGUGUUGCUGCUGUGACUUAAGUUCUUGUGUGUGUUUCUACUUCCCCUUACUCUAGUGUUCAUUCGAGAUCAAUUGUGUAAGGCAUGAGAGACUCCAAAUUGUGGAGAUUCCUCACAUGGGAUAUUAUUGAGAUAAAUAGAGAACCGUGGUAUUCAAGUUGAUCUUUGGAUCUCUUGAAAGGGGUUGAGUGCAACCCUCGUCCAUUGGGACACCACAACAUGGAGUAGGCAAGUAUUCUAUACUUAACCGAACCACGGAAUAAACAUCGCCGAGUCACUUGUCUUUAUCUUAUUGUGAUUUUCUCUCUAUUCACUUCACUUACAUAAUUGCUCUAAGUUUAAUACUUACUUAGUGAAGAGCAAUUAAGUGAAUAAGUUCUCUCCUCUUAUCCUCCUUAUUCGAACUAGGUUUUUGCUUUCACUAAUCCAAUAUUAAUCCAAAUUUGUUUUGUUGAGCCGUUUUUACAGGAUCACCUAUUCAUCCCCUCUAAGUGCCAUCACUUUAUAGCUUCAUCUGACGGUGGAGAUUAUUUUCGUGAUGUGGCCUAGCUGAUUUGCUAGGAAACACACAUGUUUUAGAAGGGUAAGAUUCUAUUGCCUAAAUCCUAGAUUUAGCAAGUAAUCAAAUAAUAUAGGAAGCGAAAAAACUCGUCUUCUCCAACAGUUCUCUAAAGAUUACUUUCUAAAUAUAUUAAAACUUGUCAUGUGACCAAUUUGAGUGGGACCAGUCAAUUUUUUCUUUUGUUUCCGUCUCUUUUCCUCGUCUCCAUCUCAAAAUUGUAACCUCGUCAGCCAACCAAUUCAAUAUGGUAAGCUAUGUAAAACUUUCGAUUUGUUGUCAUAGUUAUUUAUUCAUUUAUUCCCGACUUGUACAUGUGUGGGUGUUGCAUUCAAUUGUUUAAUCUCUAGCUUACUAGUUGUUGUAAUUGUGCAUCUCCGGUGGCCGACACAUAGGCUCUGUUAAUUUAUCUUUACUGCAGAAUGAGAAAAAGCAUCGAAAUAAAAAAAUUACGCCUGUUUUUAUGUUUUGGGAGUUGACAAAUGGUUGUCAAAUGUAGUGAGCAAAUGAGGUUACAAGAGAUGUGACUAAAUUUAGAAAGUUUAUUUAAGAAAGCUGUUCGAAAGGAGUUUUUGAGUACCUAAAUUAUUGAUUUAGGGAUUAUUUUAGAGAACUACUGGAGUUGAGCAUCUCCAAUAAUCUUAAAAAUAUAUGUUAUGUAUUACAAGCUUUCUAAAACUUCAAUUUCUAAAAAAGUGUCAAUACUCUAACAACUCCUAAUAUUUUACAAAAACUAAAUUGCACCGUCGCCACCACACCAAUUCGAGCUUCGAGCAGACCGUGCCCACCGCUAGCCAGCUACACCAGGCUACCAGCUCCACAUCCGGCAAGCAGCGUGUCAGCAGCAGCCUCUCCCAGUACAUAUAGGUGUACAUUCGGGCCGUCCGGCCCGGCCCGGCCCAAGCCCGAAAAGGCCCGUAUUGUUUGAAUUUCAGCCCGGCCCGACCCGUUUGAAUUUCGGGCCGUGCCGGGCCGUGCCGGGCCGGCCCAUGGGCCUAGCUCUUGGCCCACGGCCCGGACCGUAAUUGCUUAAACGUGUCGGCCUCAUUUCGGGCGGCCUGAAAUUAUAAAAGCCCGAAAUUCAAUCUUUGGCCCGAAAUUCAAAUUAGAGCCCUAAAUUCAAAAAAUAAAUAAAAUAAAUAAAAGAUAAGACAAAUAAAUUUGAACAAAAUCAAAAUUAAUAUUUGUAUUAAAGUUACCACAGCUAUGCAAUGACUACCUCGUUUAUAAAUCAUUUUGUUAGAAGGAAAAAGAGUAUAAUCAGCUCUAUACAAAGUUUGUAAGUUCAAUUUAUUGUCUAAUGUUCAUAACAAAAGUAAAAUUACAUCACAUACUCUAAUUCAAAGCUACAAAAACAUCUAACUAGCAUUAUCUCUAGCUUUGUGUUCUUUAUCAAGUAUAUGAAAAUGUGGAAUGAAGUGUGGUUUUAAUAAAUAUAUGAGCCUUUUCGUGCCUCUAUAUGGGCUAUUUCGUGCCUGCCUUAAACGGGCCGUGCUCGUGCCCACCCAUGGGCUGUGACCUCGACCCAAACCCGGCCCGAUAUAACGGGUCGUGCCAGCCCGACACUAAAAUAUUUUAGGCCGUGCCGUGCUUGGGCCGUGCUUUUUUUCCGUGCUUCGGGGCGGCCCAUCAGGCCCGGCCCAAAUGUACACCUAUACCAGUACACAACUCCUGUCGUCGGUUGGCGCGUUGCGCCGUGGCCAUGACUAGGAUAGCUCGACGUUGCUCCAUAUCAAGAACGUCUUAUUGUCGUAGAGUUGUUACGGCUUGACUCGGCCCCUCAGCCUCGUGGGACAGGAACUGCGGUGGAUUGGGAUUGAUAUUUGCGUCAUGGAGGGAUUGAUAUUCGUGUGUGGGGGAGUUUAGGAGUAAAGCUAGGGAAUAGUUAGCGAGCUAUUUUUUCUUUUUCCUCUAAAAUAAGGAUUGGAACUGAGGUUUUAACGAACUAUUGGAGAUGCUCUUAUACCAGCACGUAGAUAGUUUAGAGAGACAUAUAGAUGGUUAAACGGACGGUCCGUUCCAAUACAACCUAUUUAGGGUAUGGUUCAUUAGGCUCAGCUAGCUAUUUAGGUCAUGCGGGUCAGUCCAUGUGCUGCAGCCUAGGCACGACACGUCGAUCUGUUAACCGUGCUGGACCAACAUGUUAGCACGUCAGGCCCAUUGCCAAAAAAAUCACCGCGAACAAGAGUUUGAACCCUGGCCCAUACCCGAGAGAGCUUAGCCAUGUGCCACAAACCAACGCAACUAAGGUUGUCCGGAGAUAUAUGAAUUUAAAAUAAAAUAUUAAUCAUGUCGUGGCCAAGAAGGCGACCUAUGCAUGACAUGCCUUUGUGACGGGUCGUGCCUCGUGGGUUAGCGCACCAAACACGGCCCAUCUGGCCAUCUAUAGAUAGACUCAAGAAACAAUGUGCAUAAAUACUUUAUGUCCUUUUGCCACCGAUGGAUUAAUGAACAUAGAUACGAACAAGAUUACAAGCUCAAGAAACUAUUUAGUGCAUGACCUCCUAAUUCUCCCUUCAGACUUGGUUUUUAUGAGAGUUUUAACCUAUCGAUUUCUAGUUCAUCUUUACAUCUAUCCUCAAAUGUUGCACACCAUUACACCAUGAGGGGUCCCCACUCUGAAUCCAUGGGAGUCAUUUUUGAAUCAACAAAUUCGAUCUCCAUAAACAUUACUCUGCUUCCCUUUUUAUAGACCAAGGAACAAAGAUGAUUACACGUGGAUCGAACCAUGGGUCCAGUCAGUUAAGAACCAAGAACUCUAAUCUUAUCCUUGUUGUAAAGUCAUACGCAAAGCCAUAUAUUUGGUCAUGGUACAAUAUUCUGGAUGUCCUAGUUUAGUGACAAACACACUUGCCAUAGAGGUAGGUAUGUUAUGCCAUGUCAAUGGACAACAAAGUCCAUAGUGAUAGAUCUAACUAACUCCCACGGUGAUAAACGACUAGGCCCUCCUCUCUUAGGUCGAUAGGUUGAGCAGCAGGUUUGAGGACCCUUAGCUCGAACGUCCCUGCAGACAUUGGUGCGUGAGUUGAAGAUAGAGUGGAGAUCUUAUCUAGUAUUGUGUUUUCUGCCUUUGGAAUAUACAUAUAGUGCACAACAUCAUAUGAUAGCUCUAACUCCUUAAAUUUGAUGGUGUAGGCUGCCAGCUACACAUUGUUACAUAUGUAGAGCCUACACUCUUAGUUAAUCAUCAACUAGGAGUCACCUCUAACUGAUAGCUAGCGAACCUUGAGAGAGGUGAUAGUUUUUAGACCCAUGAUGAGCAUCUCAUACACGACCAUGUUAUUUGUGGUAGAGAAAUAAAGUAGGCAUACAUAGUGGAUCUAUUCACUAGUUGCGAAAACUAGAAGAAAUCGUGUGGUGGCGCUUGGGGGACACCUUUGAUUGGUAAAUGGCGAACCCCAAGAGAUAUGGUGGAUUUUAGGCCCAUAAUGAGCACCUCAUACUCAACCAUGUUGUUUGUGUUGGAGAAGUAAAGUUGGCAUACAUGGUGAUGUGGUCAUCAGUUGGACAAACCAGAAAAAACCUAUGUUGACAUUAUCGCGUCGCUUGGACCCUUCAAACCACCUAAGGGUUGCCAUUGAGAGCUGGUUCAGAAACAACCUAGAUGGUCUCCUAAUCUAAGUCCAGAUGACUUGAAGGAGACCAUGUAACCACAAAGUAUAAGAGUGUCUAGCUCUUCUCUAGGUGGUUAGUGAUAAAAUUGAGGUCAAACUCUAAUGUCUUAGCUAUUCACUUCGCUAUGCGUCCGAUAGCAUGUUGAUUGUACAACACUGCUCUUGAGAGCACCUAGAGGUGGUGAAUAGGUGAUCUAUAAAAAAUUAACUCAACAAAACAAACUUGGACUAAUAUUGGAUUAGUGAAAGUGAAAGCCAAGUCCUAAUGAAGAGGAUGAGAGGAGAGAACUUCUUCACUUAAUUGCUCUCACAAAGUGAAUAUUAAACUUAGAGCAAUUAUGAAGUAAAUUGAACUACUAGAAAGAGUAGAAUCGCUAUAAAGUAAAGAGACAGUUGACACGAUGAUUUUAUCACGUGGUUCGGUCAAGCGUAAAAUACUUACAUAAUCCACGUUGUGGUGUCCCAAUGGACCAGGGUUGCACUCAACCCCUCUCAAGCGAUCCACUGAUCAACUUGAGUACCACUCUUAUCUCAACUUUUUCCCGUUGUGAGAAAUCUCCACAAUUUGGAGUCUCUCAUGCCUCACACAAUUUGAUCUCAAAUGAACUCAAUAGUAAGGGGAGUAGAAACACACACAAGAGACAAAAGUCACAGCAACACAUGCUCGCAAGUCAAGAGAGAGGCACAAGAAACAACACAGCGGAACUACAACUCAAGAACUUGCUCAAAUCUCAAACUAUCGAAGCUCUAGCGUGAUCGCAGUGUCUCGGUGUCUUAGGAUGUUCAAGGGAUGUUUGGUGUUGUGCUCCAUGCGCCAAGGGGUCUCUUAUAUAGCCCCAAGGGCCAAAGGAUCCGUUGCUCCUUCAUUAGGAAGGCCCUGAUUGCCUUCUGUCUGUGGGCGCACCGGACAGUCCGGUGCACCACCGGACAGUGAACAGUGUGCGAUUCCCUUCCUUUUCUAGCGAAGCCGAGCUUUGCCAGCCUCUGGUCCCAUGGCACACCAGACAGUCUGGUACGGCCUGGUGACCAUUGCCUGGGCACACGUGGCGCCCGCUGAUCCGCGACCGACCGUUGGAUGGGUGCACGACUGUCACACCAGACUGUCUGGUGUACACCGAACAGUCCAAUGAAUUACAGACGCGGUACCUUGGCUUUUUCCUAAGAGCGACAUGUUCAUCCGGGUGCGCAAGCCUGGCACCAGAAACUGUCCGGUGCACACCAGACAGUCCGGUACACCGCAGGCUAGUGCAAGUUUGGUUAGACUUAGCCAAACUUCUUCAUUUGAAUUUCUCUCGAUUUGAAAAUAUCCAUAGCACUUAGUAGAGCAUAGUUAGUGCCAAAUACAAUUUACUAAGUGCUAGAAUCAUACCUUCGUUUCUCCAAGAUUGUAGAGUUUGCAAAUUAUCUUUACAACCCUCAAUUUGCUUCUCCUUUGACUCUGAGCUCAUACUCACAAUUAUAUGUUAGAUCAAAGUGAUUUGUUAGGCAUUUAUUCACCAAAACACUUAGAAAUAGCCCAAGGGCACAUUUCCCUUUCAGUCUCCCCCUUUUUGGUGAUUCAUGCCAACAUAUCAAAAGCAACUUGAAAUGCAUUAACAUAUCAAAUGCGAGCUCAAAAGUCCACCUUAAUGUCAAAUUGAAGACCAAUAAAUUUAUCGUAGGUUUUGGCAUAUUUAGAUCCUUUUUGCCACCACUUGGGUUGUUGUCGCAAAACAAAUUCAUUUUCCUAUCUCUUUGUCAAAAACACUUUGAUUUGGCAAAUCCAAAAUAUCUUUCAAGACGAUCUUUGAUCAAACGCCAAAAACUCCCCUCUUUUUCCCAUAAUCAAAUUUCUCUCCCAUAAGAGAGUAGUUUUUGCAAUAAGAGGGUUUCGAUAAAAAACCAAGUAUACUUAUACUAAAAUUUUGAAAAGUUCACAAAUGGUAGCUGAUCCAGUUGCUUUGGCCUUAAUUUCUCCCCCUUUGGCAUUAAGCACCAAAACAGAAGAACUAAGAACCAAGGGCAACGAUAGAACACAAUAGGGACAUGGAGCAAAGGUGAUUUAUACCGGAAUGCAGUGGAAGCCUCUUCUUUGUCCAAGUUCACCUUUUUUCCUUUCAAUCCAUCUUUGAGACCACAUCAUAAGUACUCAAGCAAAAACAUUAGUCUCAAAGGGUCAAGUUGUAGCACAUCCUCCCCCUAAACAUAUGCAUCUUUUGCACAAGGACUUGUGAGGUCCGGGGAUGACUUGUACAACUUGAGCACCAAAAUAAGCAAGUAAAGACUAUGAUGCUUAAAAUAACAUGAUCAAAGGCAUAAAACACAUGCAAGCUAUAAAUCAAUCCAAGUUCUAUGAUAUCCUGGUCCCUGGGAUGGUGAUAUCCUGGCCCAAGACUUAAUAGAAUUAAUAGAGUAUCCAUACCAACAAGGUGCAUCUUAUUUUUCGGAAGCCUUUCUUGAAAGAACCUCCAAGUUAAGUGUGCUUGGCUUGGAGCAAUUUGGGAUGGGUGACCGACUGGGAAGUUUUCUCGGGUGCGCAUGAGUGUGGACAAAAUGCGCACAAAAGACUCGUGUUGGUUUGUGGGGACAAUAUAUGAUCCUAGCGAGCUGCCAGGAGUAAGUACCGCCGGUCCAGGGAUUGGACGGGGUGUUACAAGUGGUAUCAGAGCCGACCCUCGUGGUUUCACGGGCGUGUGUGGGUUAGGGGUUCGGGUAUAUGGCGUAUGGCGCAUGUGGGCCCGGAGUGGUCACAUGGCAUGGCAUAUGACGACAUUAGACACACAGACGUGGCUAAGAGGGGAGGUUCCUGGAUUGGGGUUGACCGACUAGGACGUUGGUCUUCUAAGGGGGGUGGAUUGUGAUAUCCUGGCCCUUGGGAUGGUGAUAUCCUAGCCCAAGACUUAAUAGAAUUAAUAGAGUAUUCGUACCAACAAGGUGCAUCUUCUUUUUUGGAAGCCUUUCUCGAAAUAACCUCAAAGUUAAGCAUGCUUGGCUUGGAGCAAUUUGGGAUAGGUGACCGACCGGGAAGUUUUCUCGGGUGCGCAUGAGUGAGGACAAAAUGUGCACAAAAGACUCGUGUUGGUUUGUGGGGACAAUAUAUGAUCCUAGCGAGCUGCCAGGAGUAAGUACCGUCGGUACAGGGAUUGGACGAGGUGUUACAAGUUCCACGUAUUUAGGACAUUUAGCUCACUACGCAGCCUGCAAAACCUCUUCUCAUCUAAAGGCUUGGUGAAGAUAUAGUUCUCGGUGCUAAUGUGGCAAAGAUCGAUAUCUCCCCUUUGCUGGUGGUCUCUCAAAAAGUGAUGCCGAAUGUCUAUGUGCUUAGUGCGGCUGUGUUCAAUAGGAUUAUCCGCUAAGCAAAUUGCACUCUCAUUGUCACAUAGGAGUGGGACUUUGCUCAAAUUGUAGCCAAAGUCCCCAAGGAUUUGCCUCAUCCAAAGUAGUUGCACGCAACAAUGGCAUGUGGCAACAUACUCGGCCUCAGCGUUGGAUAGGGCAACAGAUGUUUGUUUCUUAGAGCUCCAAGACACUAGGGACCUUCCUCGAAACUGAUAAGUCCCUGAUGUGCUCUUCCUAUCAACCUUGCACCCAGCAUAGUCGGAAUCUGAAUAUCCGAUUAAGUCAAAGGUAGACCCCUUUGGAUACUAGAUCCCGAAGCAAGGCAUAUGUACUAAGUAUUAAGAAUUCACUUUACAGCCACAAGAUGACAUUCCUUGGGGUUAGAUUGAAAUCUAGCACACAUGCAUACGCUAAGCAUUAUAUCCGGUCUACUAGCACAAAGAUAAAGUAAUAAACCUAUCAUAGAUCGGUAUGUCUUUUGAUCAACGGACUUACCUCCCUUGUCGAGGUCCAAGUGCCCAUCGGUUCCCAGUGGUGUCUUGGCGGGCUUUGUGUCCUUCAUCCCAAACUGUCGGGUGUGAUAAUUAGGGGUACCCAGAUUAUCCCUCUAAAAACGCACUUAGAAAAGGUUAAGACAUAACCCCAAAGGAAAGCAGCCGAGACACCUCGUAACCCAAGGCCCCCCGUGAAGGUCUUCCCUAUAGGCACCGAGGUCCCUCCCUAAGGGUCUCCCGCCUUAGGGAAAUCUCCGUCUCGCCCAAAGUCACCAAUGCUCCAUCUGUCUCGCCCGAGCCGAUCCUAGGAAGAUAGGACAAAGGCACCCGAAGGCUGGCAGGGGACACUCGCGUUUAAUGCGCAUACCUACCCCAUGUAGAGGCACAAAAGCACAGUGACUAACAAGAAAGCGGUCAUGUCCAAGCGCAACAAAAUGAUUACUCUCUCAUCACUGUGCACACACGCUGCCUGCCAUCCCCCGAUGUGACAUCUAAUAUGACAGGAGAAGCAGACUGGCCCUCAGGCGCAAAUCUCCACCUCGCCCGACGCUGGGCUCGACCUCAGGUGCAAUCUUCGUCUCGCCCGACGCUGAGCUCGGCCUCGGGUGAUAUCUGAAAGGGAAUUAGGCUUACACCUAGUUCCUAAAUAAUUUUGGUGGUUGAAUUGCCCAACACAAACAAAUGGACUAACUAGUUUGCUCUAGUGUAUAAGUUAUACAGGUGUAAAAGGUUCACACUCAGCCAAUAAAAAGACCAAAUGUUGGGUUCAACAAAAGAGGAAAGGAACAACCGAAGGCUCCUCUGGUCUGGCACACCGGACUGUCCGGUGCACCACCGGACAGUGUCCGGUGCACCACCGGACAGUGUCCGGUGCACCAGAGGAAUCCAACUCCAACUCGUCACCUUCGGGAAAAUCCAGAGCCAGCGCGCUAUAAUUCACCGGACUGUCCGGUGUACACCGAACAGUGUCCGGUGCUCCAACGGGACGCGACUCAGAAACUCGCCAGCCUCGAGAUUUCAUGAAGGCUGCUCCGCUAUAAUUCACCGGACAUGUCCGGUGUGCACCGGACUGUCCGGUGCAUCCUCGGAGCAACGGCUACUUCGCGCCAACGGCUACCUGCAACGCAUUAAAUGCGCGCGCAGCGCGCGCAGAAGGCAGGCGAGCCCAUACCGGCGCACCAGACACUGAACAGUUCAUGUCCGGUGCGCCACCGGACAUCGAGGCGGGCCCAGAAGUCAGAACUCCAACGGUCAGAUUCCAACGGCACUGGUGACGUGGCUGGGGCACCGGACAUGUCUGGUGUGCACCGGACUGUCCGGUGCGCCAUCGAACAGACAGCCUCCACCAACGGUCAAGUUUGGUGGUUGGGGCUAUAAAUACCCCAACCACCCCCACAUUCAUUGCAUCCAAGUUUUCCACUUCUCAACCACUUACAAGAGCUAGGCAUUCAAUUCUAGACACAUUAAAGAGAUCAAAUCCUCUCCAAUUCCACACAAGGCUUUAGUGAUUAGCGAGAGAGAUUUGCCGUGUUCUUUUGAGCUCUUGCGCUUGGAUUGCUUCUUUUCUUUCUCACUUGUUCUUGUGAUCAAAACUCCAUUGUAAUCAAGGCAAGAGGCACCAAUUGUGUGGUGGCCCUUGCGGGGAAGUUUUGUUCCCGGUUUUCGAUUAGAGAAGAGAAGCUCACUCGGUCCGAGGGACCGUUUGAGAGAGGGAAGGGUUGAAAGAGACCCGGCCUUUGUGGCCUCCUCAACGGGGAGUAGGGAUGGCAACGGGUACAUACCCAUCGGGUAGUACCAUUCCAUACCCAUACCCAUCAAAAAAUAUUCUACCCGUCGGGUUACCCAUAUAUACUCGCGGGUAUAAAAUCUUACCCAUACCCGUACCCGCGCGGGUAUUUUUACCCGUCGGGUAACCCGUACCCGCUAGGAAAGUCUUAAAUUCUAAUAUACCAAUCACUCAAAAUAUUAAAUAAACAUAUAAAAACAACUUCAACUUCACAUAUAACAAAUCAUAUGAUUACAUAACUUGGUAUCUAGACAAAUGAUAGCUAGAGAAGGGUUUUAUUUUAGCUAAGAUGGGCUCUAUUAGAUGGUUAUAGUUGUAUUGAUGCGGGUAUAUUUUACCCAUGGGUAGACGGGUAUGGGUAGUUGCAACCCGUACCCGUACCCGUCUACCCAACGGGUAGAGGUUUUUACCCAUUAACAUACCCGCGGGUAGAGAAAUCAUCCCGUACCCGCCUUCAUAUCGGGUAAAACCCGUCGGGUAUUCGGGUUUCGGGUACCCAUUGCCAUCUCUAACGGGGAGUAGGUUUGAGAGAACCGAACCUCGGUAAAACAAAUCCACAUGUCUCACUUCAUUAUUCGCUUGCGAUUUGUUUUCACCCUCUCUCGCGGACUCGCUUUUAUUUCUAACGCUAACCCGGCUUGUAGUUGUGUUUAUAUUUGUAAAUUUCAGUUUCGCCCUAUUCACCCCCCCCCCUCUAGGCGACUAUCAAUUGGUAUCGGAGCCUGGUGCUUCAUUAGAGCCUAACCGCUCGAAGUGAUGUCGGGAGAUCACGCCAAGAAGGAGAUGGAGACCGGCGAAAAGCCCACUACAAGCCACGGGAGCACUUCAUCGGAAGAGUCCCGCACCAAGAGAAAGGAGAAGAAGAACUCCUCCAAAGGGAAGGAGAAGAAGUCUUCUUCACACCACAAGGAGAAGAAGGAGAAAUCCUCUUCUCACAAGACGCGUCGGAGUGGGGACAAGAAAAAGAGGAUGAGGAAAGUGGUCUACUACGAGACCGAUUCUUCAUCGCCAUCCACCUCCGGCUCCGACGCGGCGUCCGUCACUUCUAAGCGCCAAGAGCGCAAGAAGUAUAGUAAGAUCCCCCUACGCUACCCUCGCAUUUCUAAACAUACAUCUUUACUUUCCGUCCCAUUAGGCAAACCACCAACUUUUGAUGGUGAAGAUUAUGCUAGGUGGAGUGAUUUAAUGCGAUUUCAUCUAACCUCACUCCACAAAAGUAUAUGGGAUGUUGUUGAGUUUGGUGCACAGGUACCAUCCGUAGGGGAUAAAGACUAUGAUGAGGAUGAGGUGGCCCAAAUCGAGCACUUCAACUCUCAAGCGACAACAAUACUCCUCGCCUCUCUAAGUAGAGAGGAGUAUAACAAAGUGCAAGGGUUGAAGAGCGCCAAGGAGGUUUGGGAUGUGCUCAAAACCGCUCACGAAGGAGAUGAGCUCACAAAGAUCACCAAGCGGGAGACGAUCGAGGGGGAGCUCGGUCGGUUCCGGCUUCGCAAAGGGGAGGAGCCACAAAACAUGUACAACCGGCUCAAGACCUUGGUGAAUCAAGUGCGCAACCUCGGGAGCAAAAAGUGGGAUGACCACGAGGUGGUUAAGGUUAUUCUAAGAUCUCUUAUUUUCCUUAACCCUACUCAAGUUCAAUUAAUCCGUGGCAACCCAAGGUACACACUAAUGACCCCCGAGGAAGUAAUCGGGAAUUUUGUAAGUUUUGAGUGCAUGAUCGAAGGCUCGAGGAAGAUCAACGAGCUUGAUGAUCCCUCCACAUCCGAAGCUCAACCCGUCGCAUUCAAGGCGACGGAGGAAAAGAAGGAGGAGUCUACACCAAGUAGACAACCAAUCGACGCCUCCAAGCUCGACAAUGAGGAAAUGGCGCUCGUCAUCAAGAGCUUCCGCCAAAUCCUCAAACAAAGGAGAGGGAAAGACUACAAGUCCCGCUCCAAGAAGGUUUGCUACAAGUGUGGUAAGCCCGGUCACUUUAUAGCUAAAUGUCCAUUAUCAAGUGAUAGUGACAGGGGCGACGACAAGAAGGGGAGAAGAAAGGAGAAGAAGAGGUACUACAAGAAGAAGGGCGGCGAUGCCCAUGUUUGUCGGGAGUGGGACUCCGACGAAAGCUCUAGCAACUCCUCCGACGACGAGGACGCCGCCAACAUCGUCGUCACCAAGGGACUUCUCUUCCCCAACGUCGGCCACAAGUGCCUCAUGGCAAAGGACGGCAAAAAUAAGGUUAAAUCUAAAUCCUCCACUAGAUAUGAAUCCUCAAGUGAUGAUAAUGCUAGUGAUGAGGAAGAUAGUUUGCGCACUCUUUUUGCCAACCUCAACAUGCAACAAAAAGAGAAACUUAAUGAAUUGAUUAGUGCCAUUCAUGAAAAGGAUGAUCUCUUGGAUACCCAAGAGGACUUCCUUAUUAAAGAAAAUAAGAAGCAUGUUAAGGUUAAAAAUGCUUAUGCUCUAGAGGUAGAAAAAUGUGAGAAAUUAUCUAGUGAGCUAAGUACUUGCCAUGACACUAUUACCAACCUUAGAAAAGAAAAUGCUAGUUUAAAUGCUAAGAUUGAUUCACAUGUUUGUAAUGUUUCAAUUCCCAAUCUUAGAAAUGAUAAUGAUGAUUUGCUUGCUAAGAUUGAAGAAUUGAACAUCUCUCUUGCUAGCCUUAGAGUAGAGAAUGAAAAUUUAAUUGCUAAGGCUAAAGAACUAGAUGUUUGCAAUGUUACAAUUUCCGAUCUUAGAGAUAAAAAUGAUAUCUUGCGUGCUAAGAUCGUUGAACUUAAUUCAUGCAAACCCUCUACAUCUAGUGUUGAGCAUGUUUCCAUUUGUACUAGAUGUAGAGAUGUUGAUAUUAAUGCUAUUCAUGAUCACAUGACUUUAAUUAAACAACAAAAUGAUCAUAUAGCAAUAUUAGAUGCAAAAAUUGCCGAGCAUAACUUAGAAAAUGAGAAAUUUAAAUUUGCUAGAAGUAUGCUCUAUAGUGGGAGACGCCCUGGCAUCAAGGAUGGCAUUGGCUUCCAAAGGGGGGACAAUGUCAAACUUAAUGCCCCUCCUAAAAGAUUGUCCAACUUUGUUAAGGGCAAGGCUCCCAUGCCUCAGGAUAACAAGGGUUACAUUUUAUACCCUGCCGGUUAUCCCGAGGACAAAAUUAGGAAAAUUCAUUCUAGGAAGUCUCACUCUGGUUCUAACCAUGCUUUUAUGUAUAAGAGUGAGACAUCUAGCUCUAGGCAACCAACCCGUGCUAAGUUGCCUAAGAAGAAAAUUCAUAUUGCAUCAAAUGAACAUAGCUUUUCAUUUAAAACCUUUGAUGCAUCAUAUGUUUUGACUAACAAAUCCGGCAAGGUUGUUGCCAAGUAUGUUGGGGGCAAACACAAGAACUCCAAAACUUGUGUUUGGGUUCCCAAAGUUCUUGUUUCUAAUGCCAAAGGACCCAAAACCGUUUGGGUACCUAAAGUCAAGAACUAAAAUUGUUUUGUAGGUUUAUGCAUCCGGGGGCUCAAGUUGGAUACUCGACAGCGGGUGCACAAACCAUAUGACAGGGGAGAAAAAGAUGUUCUCCUCCUACGAGAAAAACCAAGAUCCCCAACGAGCUAUCACAUUCGGGGAUGGAAAUCAAGGUUUGGUCAAAGGUCUUGGUAAAAUAGCUAUAUCUCCUGAUCAUUCUAUUUCCAAUGUUUUUCUUGUAGAUUCAUUAGAUUACAAUUUGCUUUCUGUAUCUCAAUUAUGCAAAAUGGGCUACAACUGUCUUUUCACUGAUAUAGGUGUCACUGUCUUUAGAAGAAGUGAUGAUUCAAUAGCAUUUAAGGGUGUGUUAGAGGGUCAGCUAUACUUGGUAGAUUUUGAUAGAGCUGAACUCGACACAUGCUUAAUUGCUAAGACUAACAUGGGUUGGCUCUGGCACCGCCGACUAGCCCAUGUUGGGAUGAAGAAUCUUCAUAAGCUUCUAAAGGGAGAACACAUUUUAGGACUAACAAAUGUUCAUUUUGAGAAAGACAGGAUUUGUAGCGCAUGCCAAACAGGAAAGCAAGUUGGUGCUCAUCAUCCACACAAGAACAUCAUGACGACCGACAGGCCGCUUGAGCUACUCCACAUGGAUCUAUUCGGACCGAUUGCUUACAUAAGCAUCAGUGGGAGUAAGUAUUGUCUUGUAAUAGUGGAUGAUUAUUCUCGCUUCACUUGGGUGUUCUUUUUGCAGGAAAAAUCUCAAACCCAAGAAACCUUAAAAGGAUUCUUGAGACGGGCUCAAAAUGAGUUCGCCUUAAGGAUCAAGAAAAUAAGAAGCGACAACAGAACGGAGUUCAAGAACUCUCAAAUUGAAGGCUUCCUUGAGGAGGAGGGCAUCAAGCAUGAGUUCUCUUCUCCCUACACGCCACAACAAAAUGGUGUAGUGGAGAGGAAGAAUAGAACUCUAAUGGACAUGGCAAGAACCAUGCUUGAUGAAUACAAGACUUCGGAUCGGUUUUGGGUGGAAGCAGUCAACACCGCAUGCUAUGCCAUCAACCGGUUAUAUCUACACCGAAUCCUCAAGAAGACAUCUUAUGAACUCCUAACCGGUAAAAAGCCCAACAUCUCAUAUUUUAGAGUCUUUGGUAGCAAAUGCUUUAUUCUUGUUAAAAGAAGUAGAAAAUCUAAAUUUGCUCCUAAGACUGUAGAAGGCUUUUUACUAGGAUAUGAUUCAAACACAAGGGCAUAUAGAGUCUUUAACAAGUCCACUGGACAAGUUGAAGUUUCUUGUGACGUUGUGUUUGAUGAGACUAAUGGCUCUCAAGUAGAGCAAGUUGAUCUUGAUGAGAUAGGUGAUGAAGAGGCUCCAUGCAUCGCACUAAGGAACAUGUCCAUUGGGGAUGUGUGCCCUAAGGAAUCCGAAGAGCCUCCAAAUACACAAGAUCAACCAUCCUCCUCCACGCAAGCAUCUCCACCGACUCAAAAUAAGGAUGAAGCUCAAGUUGAUGAAGUAGAAGAUCAAGCAAAUGAGCCACCUCAAGAUGACGGCAAUGAUCAAGGGGGAGAUGCAAAUGAUCAAGACAAGGAGGAUGAAGAGCAAAGGCCGCCACACCCAAGAGUCCACCAAGCAAUCCAACAAGAUCACCCCGUCGACACCAUCCUCAGCGACAUUCAUAAGGGGGUAACCACUAGAUCUCGUGUUGCACAUUUUUGUGAACAUUAUUCUUUUGUUUCCUCUAUUGAGCCACACAGGGUAGAGGAAGCACUCCAAGAUUCGGAUUGGGUGGUGGCGAUGCAAGAGGAGCUCAACAACUUCACCAGGAAUGAGGUAUGGCAUUUAGUUCCACGUCCUAAUCAAAAUGUUGUAGGAACCAAAUGGGUCUUCCGCAACAAGCAAGAUGAGCAUGGUGUGGUGACAAGGAACAAAGCUCAACUUGUGGCCAAGGGAUACUCUCAAGUCGAAGGUUUGGAUUUCAGUGAAACCUAUGCACCCGUAGCUAGGCUUGAGUCAAUUCGUAUAUUAUUGGCCUAUGCUACUUACCAUGGCUUUAAGCUUUAUCAAAUGGACGUGAAAAGUGCCUUCCUCAAUGGACCAAUCAAGGAAGAGGUCUAUGUUGAGCAACCUCCCGGCUUUGAAGACAGUGAGUACCCUAACUAUGUCUAUAAGCUCUCUAAGGCGCUUUAUGGGCUCAAGCAAGCCCCAAGAGCAUGGUAUGAAUGCCUUAGAGAUUUCCUUAUUGCUAAAUGGCUUCAGAGUCGGAAAGGCUGAUCCUACUUUAUUCACUAAAACUCUUGAAAAUGACUUGUUUGUAUGCCAAAUUUAUGUUGAUGAUAUUAUAUUUGGGUCUACUAAUGAGUCUACAUGUGAAGAAUUUAGUAGGAUCAUGACACAGAAGUUCGAGAUGUCUAUGAUGGGGGAGUUGAAAUACUUCUUGGGAUUUCAAGUGAAGCAACUCCAAGAGGGCACCUUCAUUAGCCAAACAAAGUAUACUCAAGACAUUCUAAACAAGUUUGGAAUGAAGGAUGCCAAGCCCAUCAAGACACCCAUGGGAACUAAUGGGCAUCUCGACCUCGACACGGGAGGCAAGUCCGUGGAUCAAAAGGUAUACCGGUCGAUGAUAGGUUCUUUACUCUAUUUAUGUGCAUCUCGACCGGAUAUUAUGCUUUCCGUAUGUAUGUGUGCGAGAUUCCAAGCCGACCCUAAGGAAGCUCACCUUACGGCCGUAAAACGAAUCUUGAGAUAUUUGGCUUAUACUCCUAAGUUUGGGCUUUGGUAUCCUAGGGGAUCCACUUUUGAUUUGAUUGGUUAUUCGGAUGCCGAUUGGGCGGGGUGCAAAAUCAAUAGGAAGAGCACAUCGGGGACUUGCCAAUUCUUGGGAAGAUCCUUGGUGUCUUGGGCUUCAAAGAAGCAAAAUUCGGUCGCUCUUUCCACCGCCGAAGCCGAGUACAUUGUCGCAGGCUAUUGUUGCGCGCAAUUACUUUGGAUGAGGCAAACCCUGCGGGACUACGGUUACAAAUUGACCAAAGUCCCUUUGCUGUGAUAAUGAGAGUGCAAUCAAGAUGGCGGAUAAUCCCGUCGAGCAUAGCCGCACUAAACACAUAGCCAUUCGGUAUCACUUUUUAAGGGAUCACCAACAAAAGGGAGAUAUCGAGAUUUCAUAUAUUAACACUAAAGAUCAAUUAGCCGAUAUCUUUACCAAGCCACUUGAUGAACAAUCUUUUAACAAACUUAGGCAUGAGCUAAAUAUUCUUGAUUCUAGGAACUUCUUUUGUUAAAUUGCACACAUAGCUCAUUUAUGUACCUUUGAUCAUGUCUCUUUCAUAUGCUAUAACUAAUGUGUUUUCGAGUGAAUUUCAAACCAAGUCAUAGGAAUAUUGAAAGGGAAUUGGAGUCUUCGGCGAAGACAAAGGCUUCCACUCCGUAACUCAUCCCUCGCCGUCACUCCAAGCAACUCUCCAUUCUUGUGGGAGAAAGCAUGAGCACAAAGCAAAAGGACUUCGUCUUUGGUAUAAUCUUAACUCAUUUAUUUAUGACCAAAGAGGAAGAAAGCACUUUGAGGGCUCUAAUGAUUCCGUUUUUGGCGAUUCAUGCCAAAGGGGGAGAAAGUAAGAGCCCAAAGCAAAAGGACCGCACCACCACCAAUUUCAAAAACUUCGUGUUUCCAAGAAUAUUAUCAAUUGGUUUCCUAUUGUGUUCAAAAGGGGGAGAAAGUAGUAUUUCAAAAAUGAUAUAUCAAAACCCUCUUGAACACUAAGAGGAGGAUCUCAUUUAGGGGGAGUUUUAUUUAGUCAAAGGAGAAGCAUUUGAAACAGGGGGAGAAAAUUUCAAAUCUUGAAAAUGCUUUGCAAAAUCUUAUUCAUUUACCUUUGACUAUUUGCAAAAGAACUUUGAAAAGGAUUUACAAAAAGAAUUUGCAAAAACAAAACCUAUGGUGAAAGCGUGGUCUAAAAUGUUAAUUAAGAAAGAAACGAUCCAUGCAUAUCUUGUAAGUAUCUAUAUUGGCUCAAUUCCAAGCAACCUUUAUACUUACAGUAUGCAAACUAGUUCAAUUAUGCACUUCUAUAUUUGCUUUGGUUUGUGUUGGCAUCAAUCACCAAAAAGGGGGAGAUUGAAAGGGAAUUAGGCUUACACCUAGUUCCUAAAUAAUUUUGGUGGUUGAAUUGCCCAACACAAACAAAUGGACUAACUAGUUUGCUCUAGUGUAUAAGUUAUACAGGUGUAAAAGGUUCACACUCAGCCAAUAAAAAGACCAAAUGUUGGGUUCAACAAAAGAGGAAAGGAGCAACCGAAGGCUCCUCUGGUCUGGCACACUGGACUGUCCGGUGUGCCACCGGACAGUGUCCGGUGCACCAGAGGAAUCCAACUCCAACUCGUCACCUUCGGGAAAAUCCAGAGCCAGCACGCUAUAAUUCACCGGACUGUCCGGUGUACACCGGACAGUGUCCGGUGCUCCAACGGGACGCGACUCAGAAACUCGCCAGCCUCGGGAUUUCAUGAAGGCUGCUCCGCUAUAAUUCACCGGACAUGUCCGGUGUGCACCGGACUGUCCGGUGCAUCCUCGGAGCAACGGCUACUUCGCGCCAACGGCUACCUGCAACGCAUUAAAUGCGCACGCAGCGCGCGCAGAAGGCAGGCGAGCCCAUACCGGCGCACCGGACACUGAACAGUUCAUGUCCGGUGCGCCACCGGACAUCGAGGCGGGCCCAGAAGUCAGAACUCCAACGGUCAGAUUCCAACGGCACUGGUGACGUGGCUGGGGCACCGGACAGUCCGGUGCGCCAUCGAACAGACAGCCUCCACCAACGGUCAAGUUUGGUGGUUGGGGCUAUAAAUACCCCAACCACCCCCACAUUCAUUGCAUCCAAGUUUUCCACUUCUCAACCACUUACAAGAGCUAGGCAUUCAAUUCUAGACACAUUAAAGAGAUCAAAUCCUCUCCAAUUCCACACAAGGCUUUAGUGAUUAGCGAGAGAGAUUUGUCGUGUUCUUUUGAGCUCUUGCGCUUGGAUUGCUUCUUUUCUUUCUCACUUGUUCUUGUGAUCAAAACUCCAUUGUAAUCAAGGCAAGAGGCACCAAUUGUGUGGUGGCCCUUGCGGGGAAGUUUUGUUCCCGGUUUUCGAUUUGAGAAGAGAAGCUCACUCGGUCCGAGGGACCGUUUGAGAGAGGGAAGGGUUGAAAGAGACCCGGCCUUUGUGGCCUCCUCAACGGGGAGUAGGUUUGAGAGAACCGAACCUCGGUAAAACAAAUCCACGUGUCUCACUUCAUUAUUCGCUUGCGAUUUGUUUUCACCCUCUCUCGCGGACUCGCUUUUAUUUCUAACGCUAACCCGGCUUGUAGUUGUGUUUAUAUUUGUAAAUUUCAGUUUCGCCCUAUUCACCCCCCCCCCUCUAGGCGACUAUCAAUAUCUCUGCCUCGCCCGAGCUCGGCCUUGGCUACCUACCCCACCGCGAAUCCCGCAGGCGGCCACUCCGUCAAUUGUGGCACACGUCAGGGAAGGCUCAAACAUUGCCUCAGGAAGACUUCCGCUCGCCCGAGCGGGGCUCUGACAUCAAUAAUCACAGCAAAGGAAUCACAACAUCACCCAACACAGGGACGCUAACGCACCUCGUAAGCAGGCUUUCACCCAUACCGAAGAGCUGUUACAACAACUAAGUUAUGGAUGACCCCUCCCCUAGGGGCUCGGGCGUACGGCCAACCCCUCGGCCUCGGUCUCGGCUCUCAGCAGGAAAUCAGCAAGCACAAGUCAACAACGCAGUACACCGUCAUAUUUUGGGAAUAUCAACUUGGAUUUAUGAUAAAACUUGGCUUCAAUUAAUGACAAAUACCUACCAACUAAAAGCAACUGCUUUGAGCUUAACCCCACAUACAGCUAGUCCACUUCAGCCAAACAGGACAUUUGCUGAGUACGUUGAUGUGUACUCACACUUGCUUAAACACCAAACACCAGGUUGUCCCUAUUGCAACCAUUGCUCAGGAGAAGAUGAAGGAAAUGCGGAGGAUUUCCAGGAGUUUUAGGACUUUGAGGAAUUCUAAUCUAGACUAGCGUCAAACCCCUAGUCGGCUGCCUGUGAAGGCCUUAUCUUACUAUGUUUCAUUCAGCACUUUGAUUUAUGUUUAAGUUAAUGACUAUAUGGAUGUUUUGGGCAUCAUGACAUAAUAAAGUUAUACUUAUUUCCGCUAUUAUUUGAGCAUUGUGUGAUGAUGUCCAAUUAUGUAAUCGUUGUGUACGUGAAUUUCUGAUCCUAGCGCGUACAUGGUUCACAUUCGGUUUACCUUCUAAAACCGGGUGUGACAUGUCUGUUCAUCCGGGUGCGCCAGCCUGGAACUGGACACUGUCCGGUGCACACCGGACAGUCCGCUGCACCGCAUGAUGGUGCAAGUUUGGCUAGACUUAGCCAAACUUCUCCAUUUGAAUUUCUCUCGAUUUGAGAAGAUCCCUAGCACUUAGUAGAGCAUAGUUAGUGCCAAAAAUAAUUUACUAAGUGCUAGAAUCAUACCUUCGUUUCUCCAGGAUUCUAGAGUUUGCAAAUUAUCUUUACAAUCCUCAAUUUGCUUCUCCUUUGACUCUGAGCUCAUACUCACAAUUGUAUGUUAGAUCAAAGUGAUGUGUUAGGCACUUGAUUACCAAAACACUUAGAAAUAGCCCAAGGGCACAUUUUCUUUCAGCUCUUAAUGGAAAAUAUGUAACCACUAAAAUUAUAUGCACCUGAAAUAGUGUUGGAGCUUCUUGAAUGCAACAAGGACCACAUAUAUUAGUUUAUGCAUCUCUGGUUACCUAGUCUUAUUGAUGUGGAGGACUUUACUAAUGAAGUAGAUUGGUCAUUGGAAAUGGCGAGUAGCAUGGCGAGAUAAGCCCAACUCAAAGGGGCCAGGGAUCGGAUGGACAACAGUCUCUAAGAGGGCACCCACAGGCUCUAUCUCUGUCGCUACGACUCACCCGACUCACUAAGAGGAGCUGCACCUCCCCUGCUCUGAGUCAGUACAGGCCCCAACAGAAGUCGGGGCUCACGACAUUCACUAUGUGCCCUAACAAUAAUGAGAUCUUUAAAUGUUCACGGGAGAGCCCUUUACUAUGAGGGACUCUCGGCAUUCACUGAGGAUGAUUAUAGAGAUCUGUAGCUACGAAUGUUCAUGGGAGGACCUAAUAGUGGCUAGAGCUCCCAAUACUCAUUAGAGGUUAUGGGAUUGUGCCAGGCCCUCGAGUGUUCACAGAAGGAUCUGACAGUGGCCGAAAGCUCCUAGCAUUUGUUGAGGAUUCCAAGAUAAGCGUUCACGGAAGAACAUAAUGGUGGCUAACAGUGUGUUUGGUUCAGCUAUUGAUUCCUAAAAAUCUGAUUUUAGCUACAAGCUAUGAGGGGGCUGUUAUGAGCUGAUGGCUAUGGGAAAGCUAAAAUCUAUUUGGUUGAAACAAUUGUCAACUAUAGAUUCUAUAAUAGUAUGAUAGCUUGGCAACAUGGCAGGGGGGGACCACCCUGGCCUCUCGAAUGAGUCAAUUCGAUAGCAUGAUAUCAUCGGCAAGGGGUGAUACGCUUUGUCGUGGGGGUAUAUGCCCACAACGCUAUACCCAAACGUUGUGGUUGUAGUCAUGCCCAAUCUAGUGUAUACAAAGCAUCCUAUACGAGUAGCGUGUAUGGCAGUGACAAUAGCUGAAGCGAUAGGUGUUGCGUCAUCGUCUUCCAUUGGUAUGAAGCCUCUCAGUCAUGGAAUAUCAAUGUGGAGUCUAGAGAGAUGUUGAAAGGGAUAGCAUCAUAUAUGGACGAGCAUCGUGGAUGGGGGAUGAUGAGCGAAGAGUAGAUGAGAAAAAUGUAUAAUGUUCAGGGACAACAAAGCCACAUCAUUGACCUCCAAAAUCGAGUGUAGAGAGAUGAUGGCAACUUUAGCUGUCGCUAGGAGGUGUCAUGGAGUGAGAGUCGAGCGACAAAUUAGAUAGAAAAUAAAACGAUUCAACCCUAUAAACAGUAGUAACCGAAUAAUAAUUUCUAAAAAUCUAGAUGACAUAAUUUUUUUUAAAAAAAGAUAAAAGUAUGUUCUGGAUUAAACUAGAGAAAUCUAUAGAUUCUCGUAAAUCUAUUCAUCCCACGUAGCCUUUUGAUUAUGAUUCCAGAUUUUUUGGCUUAGGAUCAUCAUUAUGUCGUUAUUGUAGGAAUCUGAUAUUAACGUUAUGAUCAUAUAGAUCCCAUAUUAAUUGUUUCGUUACCAUCGAAGGAAUCGAAAUGGGAACGCAGCAUGAAAAUCUUGCGGUGAAAACGGCGUUCACAGAGAAAGCGAAGAUCAAUCUACGGCGGGUACAGUCAGUGCGGUGGUCAGUCGGAGGCAGACAAGCGAAGCAGCCAAAACCACCAGCGAGGCGGCGAUGAGUGAGCAAUGAUUCCCCUGCCAAAUCGAAAAAAUCUCCCUGCUAGGCUAGGCACCAAGCCAAGCAAAUCCACUCGAGACCAGACCGGCGACGGCGGCCCCGCGUCCGUCGCCAUCAAAGCCACCGCUGCGGUCGCUCCUCCGGGACCCCUCCUCCUCCGCGGACCACCGCCAGCGCUCGACAGCAACACGCGCACGCCCACGCGCGAAGAGUCAACAGGAGAGAGACUGGCGGUGGUGGAACUGGCAGUAGAAUAAGCUUGCGUCGAGUGGGAGUUGGCGAGGCAUCGCUCGCUUCCCCUCCACCCCACUCUGCCCACCGAGCGCCAGUGGAGCGCUUACUUGACUUGACCUCGCCGCCUCCUGCCCUCCCCCUCCCCCUCCCCCUGCCGGCGCCCGUUCUUUCCUCCCCUCGCCGGACGCCCACCGCCGGAGCGGAAGAGGGGGGAAUGCAGCCGCCGCAGCAAUACCCGCCGGCGCCCGGCUCCUGGGGCGGGGUCGCGGGGGCCAGGGCCGGCGCCACCACCGUGGAUGAGGCGUCCAUGGAACGUAGCAAGAGCUUCAUCAAGGCCCUGCAGGUGCUCCCCGAACCCCGCAUUCCUAGAUCCAUACACGCGCACGCACAAAAAUCCUCCCUUUUUUUCUAAAAGGAAAAGGCUGUCCCUGCUCUGUCUCACCGGGGAUCCGGCUGGAUUUCUGCUUCGUGAUGAUGGCGCAGGAGCUCAAGAACCUGCGGCCGCAGCUCUACACCGCCUCCGAGUACUGCGAGAAGUCCUACCUCCACAGCGAGCAGAAGCAGAAGUGAGUCGCGUUCCCUGCUCCUGCAUUUUACUGCCACACAAAGGGAGAAGGAAUCACUACUACUCACUUCCUAGUCUUACCACGGCGCCCAGCCAUGGUUGCUCUUCGUACAAUUGCAUCUUGCAUGCUGUAUCUAGCACUGUUUUGUCAUUUCGCCUAAGGGUUGAAGGAUCCAAUCGAAGCGUGGGUGCAGCAUGUGCUGGUAGCAACUACACCCAACUACCUAUGAUAGGUGUAGACGACUGAGCCAACUAAGGCAAGGACGGCAACAGGUGUGAGGAAGGGACUUGAUGUGUGAGAUGUGGCUAGAAAACAAACUCUACUGGCUAGAGAAAGAUAUAAUUUUUUGGUAUCAUCUGGAGUUUUGGAGUUACCUGACAACUGUCCCUGUACUGUUCGUAGUCUGAAUUUUGUCACUGCAUUGAAAUUUUAGCAACGGGGACCCCCUCUU